rnacentral:rRNA from 1 species
GUAGGUUCCGAGCGUUAUCCGGAUUUACUGGGCGUAAAGCGCGUUCAGGCGGUUUGGCAAGUCGGGCAUGAAAUCUCUCGGCUCAACCGGGAGAGGUUGUCCGAUACUGCUGGACUUGAGGGCAGUAGAGGGUGGUGGAAUUCCGGGUGUAGUGGUGAAAUGCGUAGAUAUCCGGAGGAACACCAGUGGCGAAAGCGGCCACCUGGACUGCACCUGACGCUGACACGCGAAAGCUAGGGGAGCGAACGGGAUUAGAAACCCCGGUAGUCCUAGCUAUAAACGAUGUUGACUAGGUGUCGACGGUCUAAACCCCGCCGGUGCCGGAGCAAACGCAUUAAGUCAACCGCCUGGGGACUACGGCCGCAAGGUUA